CGAACGCUGGCGGCAUGCCUAACACAUGCAAGUCGAACGAGACCUUCGGGUCUAGUGGCGCACGGGUGCGUAACGCGUGGGAACCUGCCCUUAGGUUCGGAAUAACUCCCCGAAAGGGGUGCUAAUACCGGAUAAUGUCUUCGGACCAAAGAUUUAUCGCCUUUGGAUGGGCCCGCGUUGGAUUAGCUAGUUGGUAGGGUAAAAGCCUACCAAGGCGACGAUCCAUAGCUGGUCUGAGAGGAUGAUCAGCCACGCUGGGACUGAGACACGGCCCAGACUCCUACGGGAGGCAGCAGUGGGGAAUAUUGGACAAUGGGCGAAAGCCUGAUCCAGCAAUGCCGCGUGAGUGAUGAAGGCCUUAGGGUUGUAAAGCUCUUUGACCCGGGAUGAUAAUGACAGUACCGGGAGAAUAAGCUCCGGCUAACUCC
rnacentral:rRNA from 1 species